rnacentral:rRNA from 1 species
CUACGUAGGGUGCGAGCGUUAAUCGGAAUUACUGGGCGUAAAGCGUGCGCAGGCGGUUCUAUAAGACAGAUGUGAAAUCCCCGGGCUCAACCUGGGAAUGGCAUUUGUGACUGUAGAGCUAGAGUACGGUAGAGGGGGAUGGAAUUCCGCGUGUAGCAGUGAAAUGCGUAGAUAUGCGGAGGAACACCGAUGGCGAAGGCAAUCCCCUGGACCUGUACUGACGCUCAUGCACGAAAGCGUGGGGAGCAAACAGGAUUAGAUACCCUGGUAGUCCACGCCCUAAACGAUGUCAACUGGUUGUUGGGUGCAUUAGUACUCAGUAACGAAGCUAACGCGUGAAGUUGACCGCCUGGGGAGUACGGCCGCAAGGUUGAAACUCAAAUGAAUUGACGGGG